CUCUACUCUGCUGGAGGAAAUGAAAGGAAAAGUCAGUUACCCAUGUAACAGUGAUCUGAGAAUCUUUACUUGGGGCAAACACUGAAAUAACAGGGUACCUUUUUCUUCUUUACCAGCUCCACAUAGUGACUGCUAAGAAAGAUGAUCUACAUUCCGAAGGACUGGAUACCGGCAGGUGAUGGAAUUUAUGGCUCUGCUAUCAGUCCUUCUGUUAUGCCAGGAUUAGAGAUGCUUUUGCUGCCAAACAUAGAACUAAAUUAACCUACACCAAUAUUUCUACAAGCUAUCGUGUUCCAAGAGAAGCCACAGAUAUGAAGCAGAUAUUCUCAAAGCCUGUAUUUGACAAAAGAUCAAUGUCCAGAGUGGUAUGUAUUCGAAACAACUAAUUUACACACAUAGAUUUUGCACAAAACUCCUGUGUGGGUUAAGUUUUUCCUC
ensembl:lincRNA